rnacentral:tRNA from 1 species
GGGCUUGUAGCUCAGCUAGGUAGAGCGAUCGGCUCUUAACCGAUCGGUCAAGGGUUCGAAUCCCUUCAAGCCCGCCA